GGUGUUUGUAGCUCGGCCAGGCAAGAAACCUGGCACUUGGUCCAGUCAGGUGGUCCACUCCAAGUGGCAUCUGACUGACCAUGCCAGCAAGUGCCUGGACCGGAUGAAGGACCUAUAUAUGGCGGUUGUUAGAGGUUGGACAGAUAUGCAGCCAUCAACCUCCUCCACCAUCCAUCCGUCCACAACCUCUGUCAGCCAGCCAUCAACCUCCUCCACCAUCCAUCCGUCCACAACCUCUGCCAGCCAGCCAUCAACCUCCUCCAAAAGAGCCUCCACAGGCCCUCUGAGUUUACCUCCAAGAAAAAGCACCAGAAGGAAGACAGAAGAUGGAUCGAAAGUGGAAAGAUAUUCCAACUUGAGUGGGUACGGAUGGAAGAAACCAAAAAAUAACAAUGUUAAUAAUAAUA